UACGUAGGGUGCAAGCGUUAAUCGGAAUUACUGGGCGUAAAGCGUGCGCAGGCGGUUUUGUAAGUCCGUUGUGAAAGCCCCGGGCUCAACCUGGGAAUUGCGAUGGAGACUGCAAGGCUUGAAUCUGGCAGAGGGGGGUAGAAUUCCACGUGUAGCAGUGAAAUGCGUAGAGAUGUGGAGGAACACCGAUGGCGAAGGCAGCCCCCUGGGUCAAGAUUGACGCUCAUGCACGAAAGCGUGGGGAGCAAACAGG
rnacentral:rRNA from 1 species